AAACUUACCAGGUCAAGACAUGGGCGUGAUUGACAGGCUAAUGACUUUUCUCGAUUCCAUGGAUGGUGGUGCAUGGUCGCACUUAGUUGGUGCAGUGAUUUGUCAGGUUUAUUCCGGUAACGAACGAGACCUCGGCCUUGUAAAUAGCUAUGCUGCUUACAGGGACAUUGGCGGCUACGCCAAGGAAGCUCGAGGCAAUUGCAGAUCUGGAAUGCCCUUAGAUGUCCUGGGUCGCACGCGUGCUACAAUGACGCCACGAACGAGCUUGCGUGAUGAAAGUUACGCAUAAUCAGCAGUCGGCGUCUUAAGGGAUAGUCUCUUGUAACGGUGGGACUCCAACUAGGAAUGUCUCGUAAGCACAAGUCAACAUCUUGUGUUGAUUACGUCCCUGCUCUUUGUACACACCGCCCGUCGCUCCUACCGAUCGGGUGUUUAGGUGAAUUUGAUGGACGUAAGGAAGUCAAAUAAACCUGAGCACUAGAGAAGAGAAGUCGAGAUCC
rnacentral:rRNA from 1 species